rnacentral:lncRNA from 1 species
GUGUUUGUGACGUCAUAAUAAGGCGACCACCAAAAACGUAUGGAACUGCGUAUAGUGUUUCACAAGUCAAGGUCCUAAACCACUGUAUCCGGCCCUUAAUGUAAUUAUACAUGUAUAUUGAGCGAAGUAACGCUUGCAGGAUCUAUACAAGAGCUCCGGACCCCCAAGUGUCUUGCGACUUCCAUGCUCGUUCGUUCCAAGAAUUCAUCUGCCCUCUUACCACAAAAACUCAUAGCUACGGCCCUGAUGUAGUGUUAUUCACAGUACAGAAGAAAAAAAAACAGAAAAAAAUGUAUGGCGGAGUAAUGGAGUGUUUCCAAUUACAGCAGCAGAACAUCCCAGCAAAAAUUGCAAAUGUUUCCCCGUGGGACAGGUUCUGUUUGUUCAGGCAAUAGUGUGCUAUCUCGGAACACAGCAUUGAUAAAAUUCUCAACCUUUUAGGAGAAUAUUCUAUCUCGCAAAUUGAAUAAAGAGGGACACAUUUGUUAGAGACACGGUGGUGGAGAUUUGAUGAGCUCUGCCAGUGUUUAAAGAAGUGUGUUAAUGCGAGACACUGUUCGUGUCUGUGGCCUUGAUGAUAUAUUGAGUUUCGUGACGGAUUUAGCAAUGUCUUCCUUUCUGCGAACAUUUUG